ensembl:lincRNA
UCCUGGGUGGGGGCCACAAGAUUAGAUGAGCCAGUUUAUUGAUCUGGGUGGUGCCAGCUAAACCAUCAAGUGCAGGGUCUGCAAAAUAUCUCAAGCAUUGAUUUUUUUUGUUUGUUUUUUGUUUUUUGUUUUUUUUUGCGGCGCACUUGUACUUUUAUCACGGACAAUAUGCCCCCAUUCACAUCCACAAAUCAGUGCUGUCCAGGCCACACCCAGGAGCCCCUGUCCAACCACUGCCCUCCCAGGGCCUCGCCCAGGCUUCCGUCACAUACUCACUAGGACGCACAGCAGCUCUUCCACUCUUACCUGAGGUUGUAUUUUAAAAGCACAUGCUCGUUGUAAACACUUCCAACAAUGCAGAAAUGAGCAAGGGGAAAGUGGAACUUGCUGUGGACAAGGCCACAGGACCACACUUUCGUUCCUGUUGGGAUGCCUGGGUCGGUUUCACAGGUCGCCUCGCAGUCCUGCAGGCUGAACUCGUCUGUCUGGGCGCCCUGUGCUGCCUACCUCCUGGGCACUCUGGGGCGAUGUGGACGGAUGCGCUCUUUUCUAAGGUUCGGUGCGUGCAGUCAGGAAUCUGCACCAAGAAUGAUCUGUCCAUCAGUGAGGGAGAGUCCUCCCUGGGAGGGGCUUCCGUGCCUCCCAUUCUGGGCACUUCCGGACUUUCUGCAGGAAGUGCUGUCUCUGAGUCAUUCUGUUUUGUCCCGAGGCUGCUGCGAGGACGGAGACAGGAGAAGUUCAUUUGGAGACAUAUAGAAGUGGAUUUAAAAAUGUCCACAGCUCUUCUAGUAAUAAGUGGACCGCUUGGAUUAUACACUCAGACUCUUCAACACAGUUUUCUGAUACAUGACCAUGACAGGAAUAUCUCCCCCAUCAUCUUUUCUGGAGAUGUCGUGGAGUACAGCCAAGAGGAUUGAGCUCAAAAAUAAGGUAGACCUUAGUGGGCAAUUUAUCUUUCUCUCACUGAAAAUCUGUGUGCCUUUGGGUAAUUAUUAACUUUGCCUUGUAUCGUGAAGAAAUUACUAUCAC